rnacentral:rRNA from 1 species
GUAGGUGAAGUGAUUUACUCAUGGAGCUGAAGUCAGUCGAAGAUACCAGCUGGCUGCAACUGUUUAUUAAAAACACAGCACUGUGCAAACACGAAAGUGGACGUAUACGGUGUGACGCCUGCCCGGUGCCGGAAGGUUAAUUGAUGGGGUCAGCGCAAGCGAAGCUCCUGAUCGAAGCCCCGGUAAACGGCGGCCGUAACUAUAACGGUCCUAAGGUAGCGAAAUUCCUUGUCGGGUAAGUUCCGACCUGCACGAAUGGCGUAAUGAUGGCCAGGCUGUCUCCACCCGAGACUCAGUGAAAUUGAACUCGCUGUGAAGAUGCAGUGUACCCGCGGCAAGACGGAAAGACCCCGUGAACCUUUACUAUAGCUUGACACUGAACAUUGAGCCUUGAUGUGUAGGAUAGGUGGGAGGCUUUGAAGUGUGGACGCCAGUCUGCAUGGAGCCGACCUUGAAAUACCACCCUUUAAUGUUUGAUGUUCUAACGUGGACCCGUAAUCCGGGUUGCGGACAGUGUCUGGUGGGUAGUUUGACUGGGGCGGUCUCCUCCUAAAGAGUAACGGAGGAGCACGAAGGUUGGCUAAUCCUGGUCGGACAUCAGGAGGUUAGUGCAAUGGCAUAAGCCAGCUUGACUGCGAGCGUGACGGCGCGAGCAGGUGCGAAAGCAGGUCAUAGUGAUCCGGUGGUUCUGAAUGGAAGGGCCAUCGCUCAACGGAUAAAAGGUACUCCGGGGAUAACAGGCUGAUACCGCCCAAGAGUUCAUAUCGACGGCGGUGUUUGGCACCUCGAUGUCGGCUCAUCACAUCCUGGGGCUGAAGUAGGUCCCAAGGGUAUGGCUGUUCGCCAUUUAAAGUGGUACGCGAGCUGGGUUUAGAACGUCGUGAGACAGUUCGGUCCCUAUCUGCCGUGGGCGCUGGAGAACUGAGGGGGGCUGCUCCUAGUACGAGAGGACCGGAGUGGACGCAUCACUGGUGUUCGGGUUGUCAUGCCAAUGGCACUGCCCGGUAGCUAAAUGCGGAAGAGAUAAGUGCUGAAAGCAUCUAAGCACGAAACUUGCCCCGAGAUGAGUUCUCCCUGAGACUUUAGGUCUCCUGAAGGAACGUUGAAGACGACGACGUUGAUAGGCCGGGUGUGUAAGCGCAGCGAUGCGUUGAGCUAACCGGUACUAAUGAACCGUGAGGCUUAACCUUACAACGCCGAAG